CGAACGAGAGUGAUUUCUAUUUUAUUCAUGACCACUUCAUCAAAAAUUUUCAAUCAAAAACUGAUGGAAAAGCAACAUA
ensembl:ncRNA F15A8.8 ncRNA